rnacentral:rRNA from 1 species
UUAAUUGAAGAGUUUGAUCAUGGCUCAGAUUGAACGCUGGCGGCAGGCCUAACACAUGCAAGUCGAACGGUAACAGGGAGCAGCUUGCUGCUCUGCUGACGAGUGGCGGACGGGUGAGUAAUGUCUGGGAAACUGCCUGAUGGAGGGGGAUAACUCCUGGAAACGGUAGCUAAUACCGCAUAGCGUCUACG